rfam:Bacillus sp. SA1-12 scf7180000003451, whole genome shotgun sequence.
UCAGAAGUCAGCAGAAGUCAUAGUACCCUAUUUUCUCGAGAAUUAGGGGAAGGGC